GAAACCGUCUCAUAUCUGGGGCGACACCUCGGCUGGCGGUUACCACCGCCUUUGAAACCUCUGGACCAGCCACUUCCAUCACUGGCGUCACCAUGGGAGCUGUGCUGGGCGUCUGCUCCCUCGCCAGCUGGGUUCCAUGCCUCUGCAGUGGUGCAUCAUGCUUGCUGUGUAGUUGCUGUCCUAACACUAAGAAUUCCACGGUGACGCGCCUCAUUUAUGCCUUCAUUCUUCUCUUGGGCACUGCUGUAUCCUGUAUCAUGUUGACUAAACACAUGGAAACUCAGCUGAAGAAGAUUCCUGGAUUCUGUGAAGGGGGAUUUAAAAUCAGAAUGUCUGACAUAAAGGCAGAUGAAGACUGUGAUGUGCUGGUUGGUUAUAAAGCUGUAUAUCGGAUCAACUUUGCCUUGGCCGUCUUUUUCUUUGUCUUCUUUCUGCUCAUGUUAAAAGUAAAAACAAGUAAAGAUCCUAGAGCAGCAGUACACAAUGGGUUUUGGUUCUUCAAAAUUGCUGCUCUUGUUGGAAUCAUGGUUGGGGCUUUCUACAUUCCUGGAGGCCCUUUUACCACAGCCUGGUUUACUUCUGGCAUGGGAGGGGCCGCUUUCUUCAUCCUCAUCCAGUUGGUGCUGUUGGUAGACUUUGCUCACUCUUUGAAUGAAUUAUGGGUAAAUCGAAUGGAAGAAGGAAACCCAAGAUUAUGGUAUGCUGUUUUACUGUCUGUCACAAGCUUCUUUUAUAUCCUGUCAAUUAUCGGUGUUGGGCUGCUCUACGCGUAUUACACCAAACCAGAUGGCUGCACAGAAAAUAAGUUCUUCAUCAGUAUUAAUCUAAUCCUUUGCAUUGUGGUUUCUGUUAUAUCAAUCCACCCAAAAAUUCAGGAACACCAGCCUCGCUCCGGCCUCCUGCAGUCCUCUAUAAUCACCCUCUACACCAUGUACCUCACCUGGUCAGCCAUGUCCAAUGAACCUGAUCGUUCCUGCAACCCUAGCCUGCUGAGCAUCAUUACACACAUAACUGCACCAACUUUGGCUCCUGGAAAUUCCACUGCUCCGGCCCCUACCUCUGCUCCACCAUCAAAGAGUGGGGGUUUUCUGGAUACAGAGAAUUUCAUUGGGCUGCUGGUCUUUGUUAUCUGCCUUUUGUAUUCUAGCAUCCGCAAUUCCAGCAAUAGCCAAGUAGACAAGCUGACCUUGUCAGGGAGUGACAGCGUGAUCCUUGGUGAUACAACUGCUAAUGGUGGCAGCGAUGAAGAAGAUGGGCAGCCUCGGCGGGCUGUGGACAACGAAAAAGAGGGAGUGCGGUACAGCUACUCCUUCUUCCACUUAAUGCUCUGCUUGGCU